rnacentral:misc_RNA from 1 species
GUGAAUCAUCGAAUCUUUGAACGCAAAUUGCACUCUCCUCGACUAGUGUGCGUAUUUGAGUGUCAGCCUAUGUAAAAUCAACAUCGUUGCUGUUUCGCGGUGGCGUUCGUCGGAAAUUGGGUCAUCUUAAAUCCUUUUGAUUUAAGCUACUUAAAAUUUUCUUUUGGUUUCAUGAACGUUUCUAAGAUCUAUUUCUUUACACGUUUAAGUUAUCGAUUUUUACUAUACUUGACCAUCAUAUCGGAUCGCGUCCAUAAUCUUUAAUUAACUGACCUCAGACAGGUAAGAGUACCCGCUAAA